GGUUAAGCGACUAAGCGUACACGGUGGAUGCCCUGGCAGUCAGAGGCGAUGAAGGACGUGCUAAUCUGCGAAAAGCGCCGGCGAGGUGAUAUGAACCUUUGACCCGGCGAUGUCCGAAUGGGGAAACCCAGUGCAAUCCGUUGCACUAUCGUUAACUGAAUACAUAGGUUAACGAGGCGAACCGGGGGAACUGAAACAUCUAAGUACCCCGAGGAAAAGAAAUCAACCGAGAUUCCCCCAGUAGCGGCGAGCGAACGGGGAGCAGCCCGGAGUCUGAAUCAGCUUGUGUGUUAGUGGAACGGUCUGGAAAGUCCGACGGUACAGGGUGAUAGUCCCGUACACGAAAGCACACAUGCUGUGAACUCGAAGAGUAGGGCGGGACACGUGGUAUCCUGUCUGAAUAUGGGGGGACCAUCCUCCAAGGCUAAAUACUCCUGACUGACCGAUAGUGAACCAGUACCGUGAGGGAAAGGCGAAAAGAACCCCGGCGAGGGGAGUGAAAAAGAACCUGAAACCGUGUACGUACAAGCAGUGGGAGCCUCUUUAUGGGGUGACUGCGUACCUUUUGUAUAAUGGGUCAGCGACUUAUAUUCUGUAGCAAGGUUAACCGUAUAGGGGAGCCGAAGGGAAACCGAGUCUUAACUGGGCGUUAAGUUGCAGGGUAUAGACCCGAAACCCGGUGAUCUAGCCAUGGGCAGGUUGAAGGUUGGGUAACACUAACUGGAGGACCGAACCGACUAAUGUUGAAAAAUUAGCGGAUGACCUGUGGCUGGGGGUGAAAGGCCAAUCAAACCGGGAGAUAGCUGGUUCUCCCCGAAAGCUAUUUAGGUAGCGCCUCGUGAACUCAUCUUCGGGGGUAGAGCACUGUUUCGGCUAGGGGGCCAUCCCGGCUUACCAACCCGAUGCAAACUACGAAUACCGAAGAAUGUUAUCACGGGAGACACACGGCGGGUGCUAACGUCCGUCGUGAAGAGGGAAACAACCCAGACCGCCAGCUAAGGUCCCAAAGUCAUGGUUAAGUGGGAAACGAUGUGGGAAGGCACAGACAGCCAGGAUGUUGGCUUAGAAGCAGCCAUCAUUUAAAGAAAGCGUAAUAGCUCACUGGUCGAGUCGGCCUGCGCGGAAGAUGUAACGGGGCUAAACCAUGCACCGAAGCUGCGGCAGCGACACUUAUGUGUUGUUGGGUAGGGGAGCGUUCUGUAAGCCGUUGAAGGUGUGCUGUGAGGCAUGCUGGAGGUAUCAGAAGUGCGAAUGCUGACAUAAGUAACGAUAAAGCGGGUGAAAAGCCCGCUCGCCGGAAGACCAAGGGUUCCUGUCCAACGUUAAUCGGGGCAGGGUGAGUCGACCCCUAAGGCGAGGCCGAAAGGCGUAGUCGAUGGGAAACAGGUUAAUAUUCCUGUACUUGGUGUUACUGCGAAGGGGGGACGGAGAAGGCUAUGUCAGCCGGGCGACGGUUGUCCCGGUUUAAGCAUGUAGGCGGAGGUUCCAGGUAAAUCCGGUACCUUGUUAACGCUGAGGUGUGAUGACGAGGCACUACGGUGCUGAAGUGAUAAAUGCCCUGCUUCCAGGAAAAGCCUCUAAGCAUCAGGUAACACGAAAUCGUACCCCAAACCGACACAGGUGGUCAGGUAGAGAAUACCAAGGCGCUUGAGAGAACUCGGGUGAAGGAACUAGGCAAAAUGGUGCCGUAACUUCGGGAGAAGGCACGCUGAUGUGUAGGUGAAGCCCCUGCGGGUGGAGCUGAAAUCAGUCGAAGAUACCAGCUGGCUGCAACUGUUUAUUAAAAACACAGCACUGUGCAAACACGAAAGUGGACGUAUACGGUGUGACGCCUGCCCGGUGCCGGAAGGUUAAUUGAUGGGGUUAGCGGCAACGCGAAGCUCUUGAUCGAAGCCCCGGUAAACGGCGGCCGUAACUAUAACGGUCCUAAGGUAGCGAAAUUCCUUGUCGGGUAAGUUCCGACCUGCACGAAUGGCGUAAUGAUGGCCAGGCUGUCUCCACCCGAGACUCAGUGAAAUUGAACUCGCUGUGAAGAUGCAGUGUACCCGCGGCAAGACGGAAAGACCCCGUGAACCUUUACUAUAGCUUGACACUGAACACUGGUCCUUGAUGUGUAGGAUAGGUGGGAGGCUUUGAAGCGUGGACGCCAGUCUGCGUGGAGCCAACCUUGAAAUACCACCCUUUAAUGGCUGGUGUUCUAACGUAGACCCGUAAUCCGGGUUGCGGACAGUGUCUGGUGGGUAGUUUGACUGGGGCGGUCUCCUCCCAAAGAGUAACGGAGGAGCACGAAGGUUGGCUAAUCCUGGUCGGACAUCAGGAGGUUAGUGCAAUGGCAUAAGCCAGCUUGACUGCGAGCGUGACGGCGCGAGCAGGUGCGAAAGCAGGUCAUAGUGAUCCGGUGGUUCUGAAUGGAAGGGCCAUCGCUCAACGGAUAAAAGGUACUCCGGGGAUAACAGGCUGAUACCGCCCAAGAGUUCAUAUCGACGGCGGUGUUUGGCACCUCGAUGUCGGCUCAUCACAUCCUGGGGCUGAAGUAGGUCCCAAGGGUAUGGCUGUUCGCCAUUUAAAGUGGUACGCGAGCUGGGUUUAGAACGUCGUGAGACAGUUCGGUCCCUAUCUGCCGUGGGCGCUGGAGAAUUGAGGGGGGCUGCUCCUAGUACGAGAGGACCGGAGUGGACGCAUCACUGGUGUUCGGGUUGUCAUGCCAAUGGCACUGCCCGGUAGCUAAAUGCGGAAGAGAUAAGUGCUGAAAGCAUCUAAGCACGAAACUUGCCCCGAGAUGAGUUCUCCCUGAGACUUUAAGUCUCCUGAAGGAACGUUGAAGACGACGACGUUGAUAGGUCGGGUGUGUAAGCGCAGCGAUGCGUUGAGCUAACCGAUACUAAUGAACCGUGAGGCUUAACCUU
rnacentral:rRNA from 1 species